AUUGAGCGCUGGCGGAAUGCUUUACACAUGCAAGUCGAACGGCAGCACGGACUUCGGUCUGGUGGCGAGUGGCGAACGGGUGAGUAAUACAUCGGAACGUGCCCAAUCGUGGGGGAUAACGUAGCGAAAGCUACGCUAAUACCGCAUACGAUCUAAGGAUGAAAGCGGGGGAUCGCAAGACCUCGCGCGAUUGGAGCGGCCGAUGGCAGAUUAGGUAGUUGGUAGGGUAAGGGCCUACCAAGCCGACGAUCUGUAGCUGGUCUGAGAGGAUGAUCAGCCACACUGGGACUGAGACACGGCCCAGACUCCUACGGGAGGCAGCAGUGGGGAAUUUUGGACAAUGGACGCAAGUCUGAUCCAGCCAUUCCGCGUGCAGGAUGAAGGCCCUCGGGUUGUAAACUGCUUUUGUACAGAACGAAAAGGCUCUGGUUAAUACCUAGGGCUCAUGACGGUACUGUAAGAAUAAGCACCGGCUAACUACGUGCCAGCAGCAGCCGCCG
rnacentral:rRNA from 1 species